rfam:Triticum aestivum genome assembly, contig: Triticum_aestivum_CS42_TGACv1_scaffold_424153_5BS
AUCGGGAAGUGGAAGAAAAUGAACAUCUAAAAGCAUUGGAAUGGGAACAUGGAGGAAGGUGUAAACUAGUGUGUACCUGUGCAACUAGGGUCCAACAUUUGAUUUGGAAUUUUCCCGAUGCCUCACAUGCCUAUUCUUCUUAGGUUCUCCUUCCUCUCCCUUAUGAUA